UACUUAGUGGCAGACGGGUGAGUAACAUGUGGGUAUCUACCCUUUGGCCUGGAAUAACACGAGGAAACUUGUGCUAAUACCGGAUACGUCUUUACGGAGAAAGCUUUAUGCACCAUUGGAUGAGCCCGCACUUGAUUAGUUUGUUGGUAGGGUAAUGGCCUACCAAGACUAUGAUCAAUAGCUGAUUUGAGAGGAUGAUCAGCCACAUUGGGACUGAGACACGGCCCAAACUCCUACGGGAGGCAGCAGUGGGGAAUCUUGCACAAUGGAGGAAACUCUGAUGCAGCGAUGCCGCGUGAGUGAAGAAGGCCUUUGGGUUGUAAAGCUCUUUCGUCGGGGAAGAAAAUGACUGUACCCGAAUAAGAAGGUCCGGCUAACUUCGUGCCAGCAGCCGCGGUAAUACGAAGGGACCUAGCGUAGUUCGGAAUUACUGGGCUUAAAGAGCUCGUAGGUGGUUGAAAAAGUUGGUGGUGAAAUCCCAGAGCUUAACUCUGGAACUGCCAUCAAAACUUUUCAGCUAGAGUAUGAUA
rnacentral:rRNA from 1 species